rnacentral:rRNA from 1 species
CCCGCUCAGAAACUCAAAUGAAUUGACGGGGCCCGCACAAGCGGUGGAGUAUGUGGUUUAAUUCGAUGCAACGCGAAGAACCUUACCUGGUCUUGACAUCCCGGAGACCCUUAGGAAACUAGGGGGUGCUUCCAUCUGGAAGAAUCUGGAGACAGGUGCUGCAUGGCUGUCGUCAGCUCGUGUCGUGAGAUGUUGGGUUAAGUCCCGCAACGAGCGCAACCCUUGCCUUUAGUUGCCAGCAGUUCGGCUGGGCACUCUAAAGGGACUGCCGGUGUUAAACCGGAGGAAGGUGGGGAUGACGUCAAGUCCUCAUGGCCUUUAUGACCAGGGCUACACACGUACUACAAUGGCCGAUACAAAGGGCAGCGACACUGCGAGGUGAAGCCAAUCCCGUAAAAUCGGUCUCAGUCCGGAUUGGAGUCUGCAACUCGACUCCAUGAAGUCGGAAUCGCUAGUAAUCGUGGAUCAGCAUGCCACGGUGAAUACGUUCCCGGGCCUU